GGGGCCCAGUCGCGUCGGGCCUCCCGAGGGGGCUGCGAGUGUCAGUCGGCUCUCCGCACGUGUCCGCGGCCUCGCGGAGCAGCACUGCAAGCUAUUUGGCAUAUGAAGGUCUUGACCUGAGAAAACCAUCUUGGAUAACUGCAGCAAGGAAAAGGAAAAAUGCAACACCUAGGAGAUUUCAGUAAACAGUAGAAUCAUGCCAACCUAAUCUGUGUUAAAAUGCUUGGAAUGUGGGAGCCGCUGAUGAUGCCUCUUGUCUGUGUGUCUGACUGAAUCCUUUCUUUUCUCAGAGCAGCAAAGCAAAGCCUGGGAACCAGGCCAAAUGCCUGCCACUUACCUUAAAUUGAUCAGCCACUUUGAGAUUAAAACCCCUGAAAGCUGCCACACCGUGAAAACAAGGCCUCCUUCACAUUAAAGGCAAAUUGCGACUUUG
rnacentral:lncRNA from 1 species